rnacentral:misc_RNA from 1 species
AGGCCGGUUCUAAUCUGAGGGAGUCAUGCUAGCACAGGCUGUGAUGCCUGUAGUGUUUGUGCUAGGCGAAUCCAUAAGCCUAGGGACGAGAAAUCGUUACGGCAGUCGAAAUGGCUAAGUCUUCGGAUAGGUCAGAGUAGGCUUGAAAGUGCCACAGUGACGGAGUCUUUCUGGAAACGGAGAGAGUGGAACGCGGUAAACCCCUCAAGCUAGCAACCCAAA